UACAGAGGUCCCGAGCGUUGUUCGGAUUCACUGGGCGUAAAGGGUGCGCAGGUGGGUUUGCAAGUUUGAUGUUAAAGCCCCGGGCUUAACCCGGGAAUGGCAUUGAAUACUGCAGAUCUGGAGGAUUGGAGGGGGGACUGGAAUUCUUGGUGUAGCAGUGAAAUGCGUAGAUAUCAAGAGGAACACCAGUGGCGAAGGCGAGUCCCUGGACAAUACCUGACACUGAGGCACGAAAGCCAAGGGAGCAAACAGG
rnacentral:rRNA from 1 species